rnacentral:rRNA from 1 species
AGAGUUUGAUCCUGGCUCAGAUUGAACGCUGGCGGAAUGCUUUACACAUGCAAGUCGAACGAUGAACCCUAGCUUGCUAGGGGGAUUAGUGGCGAACGGGUGAGUAAUAUAUCGGAACGUGCCUUGUAAUGGGGGAUAACUAGUCGAAAGAUUAGCUAAUACCGCAUACGCCCUGAGGGGGAAAGUAGGGGAUCUUCGGACCUUACGUUAUAAGAGCGGCCGAUAUCUGAUUAGCUAGUUGGUGGGGUAAUGGCCUACCAAGGCAUCGAUCAGUAGCUGGUCUGAGAGGACGACCAGCCACACUGGAACUGAGACACGGUCCAGACUCCUACGGGAGGCAGCAGUGGGGAAUUUUGGACAAUGGGCGAAAGCCUGAUCCAGCCAUUCCGCGUGAGUGCAGAAGGCCUUCGGGUUGUAAAGCUCUUUCGCAAGGGAAGAAAACUUACACAAUAACACUGUGUGAGGAUGACGGUACCUUGAUAAGAAGCACCGGCUAACUACGUGCCAGCAGCCGCGGUAAUACGUAGGGUGCGAGCGUUAAUCGGAAUUACUGGGCGUAAAGCGUGCGCAGGCGGUUUGGCAAGUCAGAUGUGAAAUCCCCGAGCUCAACUUGGGAACUGCGUUUGAAACUGCCAGACUAGAAUAUGUCAGAGGGGGGUAGAAUUCCACGUGUAGCAGUGAAAUGCGUAGAGAUGUGGAGGAAUACCAAUGGCGAAGGCAGCCCCCUGGGAUAAUAUUGACGCUCAUGCACGAAAGCGUGGGGAGCAAACAGGAUUAGAUACCCUGGUAGUCCACGCCCUAAACGAUGUCUACUAGUGUUGGUGGAGUAAAAUCCAUGAGUAACGCAGCUACGCGUGAGUAGACCGCCUGGGGGAGUACGGUCGCAGAUUAAACUCAAAGGAAUUGACGG